rnacentral:lncRNA from 1 species
GGCGAGCAGGAGAAGGUGUUGCAAAAAAGACAGUGAGGAAAAGACGGUGGGGAAAAAAUGUUGGGGGUAGGUGGAGGGGGAAAAACGGUGGUGAACAGGAGGGAGAGAAGGUUUUGCGGAAAGAUGGUGGGGAAAAAGUUUUUGGGUAGAUGGAAGGGGGAAAGAGAGGGUGGUGGGGGGAACGGGGGUGAGCAGGAGGGAGAGAAAGUUUGCAAAAAUACAGUUGGGAAAAAAAGAAAGGGAAAGAAGAGGGUGGAUAAAAAGAUUUUGAGUAGAUGGAGCGGGAAAAAGGGGUGGCAAGUGGGAGGAGAAAAGAGGGUGCAGAGAGGGAGGGGGAGGAGAGAGUGGCGAGCAGGAGGGAGAGAAGGUUUUGUGAAAAGGCAGUGAGGAGAGAAGCUUUUAAGUAGAUGGAGGGGAAAAGAGGGUGGCAAGCGGGAGAAAGAUAAAGAGGGUGGCGAGCAGGGAGAAAAGGUUUUGGGAAAAACCAGUGGGCAGAAAAGAAAGUGCAGAAAGAAAACACGGUGGGUAGAAAGUGGGUAGAUGGAGGGGGAAAAGAGGGUGGCAAGUGAGAGGAGAAUAGAAGGUGCCCAGGGGGAGUGGGGAGAGUUGGGAAAAUGAUGAUAGGGAAAAUAGUUUGGGGUAGAUGGAGGGCAAAAAGAGGGUGGCAAACAGGAUAGAGGAAAGAAGAGGGUGAGCGGGAAGCAGGGAAGGCCUUUGUGAAAAGACGGUGGGGGAAAAUUGGGGAGGUAGAUGGGUAAACGAGGGUGGUAAGGAGGAGUAGGAAGGCGGCUUUGCAAAAAGAUGGCUGGGAUGUUUUUGGGUAGAUGGAGAAGGGAAAGAGGAUGGCAAGGAGGAAAGAAGAAAAAGACGAUGGGGAAACAGUUUUUGGGUAGAUGGAGGGGGAAGGAGGGUGGCGAGCAGCAGGAGUGGAGAGAAGGCUUUGGGAAGAGAUGGGAGAAAAUGUAUUUGGGGAGAUGAAGGAACAAAAGAGGGUGAUGAGAGCCGGAGGGGCAAAAAAGGGUGGCCAGGGAGAGGGAGAAAAGACGGUGGGGAAAAGUUUUGGGGUAGAUGGAGGAAGAAAAAGGGUGGCGAAAGAGAGGGGGCCAAAGGUCGUCGGGAAAAAAAGAUGGGGAAAUAAUGGUGGGGGACAAAGGUUUUGAGUAGAUCUUUUUCUGAUUUUUA